CACUCCACUCCUUCCUCCACUCUCUCCUACCCUUCUCCUACCUCUUCACCACGAAAUGCUGCUGCCCCUUGCUCCCAUGGCCGGCCAUGGCCAUGAAAACCAGCCAAGAUGCAGCUCCCCUCCUUCCUCAAGCUUCCCCUCACCAUGAGAGCUUCCCUCUCACUCUCUUCUCUCCUAACUCUUGAUGAAUCCAGCUCUAUUUCUCUUUUCUCCUCUCUCAAGAUUGGAUCUUGAUGCAGGUGCAUGUUGGUCCAAGCAUGGAGAAGGAUGAGCAAUCCUCAGAUCUGAAGGUUUUGACCAAAAUCCAAAUCGAGUGAUUCAAAGUUCCACAGAUCAAGAUCUGGUCAGAUCUGACUUUGUCGAAUUAAACCAGGAGCUUGGAAACGAAUUUUUGAAUGAAACCAGUUGGGGGAUGUUUGGUUCAUACCAUGGUGAUAACCGAGAGAGGCAAUUGCUAAGUGGUGAUACUCUCAUACCCUUACUAGAUGCGAACAAUUCCGGAGAAGAAGAAGAAGUGGUUCGGACAAGGAUUUUAUUUAUAUUGACGGGAUUCUUAUAUUGAUGAAGUUGAAGAAGUCCAGGGACAAAUAAGCCAAG